rnacentral:misc_RNA from 1 species
UGCUGAUAUUGUAAUACCUUCAAUCAACUAACAACGAAUAAAUUAAAAUAUAGUUAAAUCAACAUAACUCAGACGAAAUAACUACGUUGCCAAUUGUCUAUCCCUAAUAACUUUAAUCCUCUCCCGUGCCAGUAUUCCUGCGCAUAGCAGGUUAGCCGAAAGGUGGAAUUCGUUUGCCAGUUGCAUCAAACGUAAGUCAACGCUACCCAUUAAUCACGAGUUAGUAGAUAAUAGACUCUCACCUAGUUCAAACCCCACGACAGACAGGUGUACAAGGUUUGUUUUCCUACAGGCAAGAAAGUGCUUACAGAGGCACUUCCAGACUGGGAAUCCAAAAGACACGAUAGACAAACAAUACCCAUCAUACACUAACAAUCCUAACUUAAAGAAAAUAAUAAUAAUAAAAGGAAAUUCUUUGAAAUAGUCCUUAGACUAUUUCUGGUGGCAGCAACUACCAUAUUAAUCGGACAUCUCGAUUAAUAUUUCAUAAACAAUCAUACCAUUUCAAUUUUCCCCUUCCGAUUAAACUCAAAAUAACACAACAAAAAAUUUUAUCUGGAUUUAGUCUAGACUAACACGGAAGGCAUAACACGACCGAAACGAACAUAACAGAACGUAACAGUAAAAUAUAAAUAGAUAAAUUUUUGGUGGCACCGGUGGGAUACGCUCCACAGAGGAUUAAAGUUAUUACUGUCAUUGAUAAAAUAUAUACCUGAAAUAUA